rnacentral:rRNA from 1 species
AUGAACGCUGGCGGCGUGCCUAAUACAUGCACGUCGAGCGAACGGACGAGAAGCUUGCUUUUCUGAUGUUAGCGGCGGACGGGUGAGUAACACGUGGAUAACCUACCUAUAAGACUGGGAUAACUUCGGGAAACCGGAGCUAAUACCGGAUAAUAUUUUGAACCGCAUGAUUCAAAAGUGAAAGACGGUCUUGCUGUCACUUAUAGAUGGAUCCGCGCUGCAUUAGCUAGUUGGUAAGGUAACGGCUUACCAAGGCAACGAUGCAUAGCCGACCUGAGAGGGUGAUCGGCCACACUGGAACUGAGACACGGUCCAGACUCCUACGGGAGGCAGCAGUAGGGAAUCUUCCGCAAUGGGCGAAAGCCUGACGGAGCAACGCCGCGUGAGUGAUGAAGGUCUUCGGAUCGUAAAACUCUGUUAUUAGGGAAGAACAUAUGUGUAAGUAACUGUGCACAUCUUGACGGUACCUAAUCAGAAAGCCACGGCUAACUACGU